GUGUCAGCAGCCGCGGUAAGACGAACCGUGCGAACGUUGUUCGGAUUCACUGGGCUUAAAGGGCGCGUAGGCGGGCAUUCAAGUCAGGGGUGAAAGCCCCCGGCCUAACCGGGGAAGUGCCUCUGAGACUGAGUGUCUCGAGUGGGGUAGGGGCAGUUGGAACUCUCGGUGGAGCGGUGAAAUGCGUAGAUAUCGGGAGGAACGCCGGUGGCGAAAGCGGGCUGCUGGACCCCUUCUGACGCUGAGGCGCGAAAGCCAGGGGAGCGAACGGGAUUAGAAACCCCCGUAGUCC
rnacentral:rRNA from 1 species